GACGAACGCUGGCGGCGUGCUUAACACAUGCAAGUCUAGCGAGGCCCCUCCUUCGGGAGGGUGUCCUAGCGGCGAACGGAUGAGUAACACGUGGGCAACCUGCCCUCAGCUCUGGGAUAACUCCGGGAAACCGGGGCUAAUACCGGAUACGACCUCCACGGGCAUCUGCGGAGGUGGAAAGUUUUUCGGCUGAGGAUGGGCCCGCGGCCUAUCAGCUAGUUGGUGGGGUAGUGGCCCACCAAGGCGACGACGGGUAGCCGGCCUGAGAGGGCGACCGGCCACACUGGGACUGAGACACGGCCCAGACUCCUACGGGAGGCAGCAGUGGGGAAUAUUGCGCAAUGGGCGAAAGCCUGACGCAGCGACGCCGCGUGAGGGACGAAGGCCUUCGGGUUGUAAACCUCUUUCAGCAGGGACGAAGCGAAAGUGACGGUACCUGCAGAAGAAGCACCGGCCAACUACGUG
rnacentral:rRNA from 1 species